rnacentral:rRNA from 1 species
UGCAAGUCGAACGAGCGAGAGAGAGCUUGCUUUCUCGAGCGAGUGGCGAACGGGUGAGUAACGCGUGAGGAACCUGCCUCAAAGAGGGGGACAACAGUUGGAAACGACUGCUAAUACCGCAUAAGCCCACGGGUCGGCAUCGACCAGAGGGAAAAGGAGUGAUCCGCUUUCAGAUGGCCUCGCGUCCGAUUAGCUAGUUGGUGAGGUAACGGCCCACCAAGGCGACGAUCGGUAGCCGGACUGAGAGGUUGAACGGCCACAUUGGGACUGAGACACGGCCCAGACUCCUACGGGAGGCAGCAGUGGGGAAUAUUGCACAAUGGGGGAAACCCUGAUGCAGCGACGCCGCGUGGGGGAAGACGGUCCUCUGGAUUGUAAACCUCUGUCUUCGGGGACGAAACGAGACGGUACCCGAGGAGGAAGCCACGGCUAACUACGUGCCAGCAGCCGCGGUAAUACGUAGGUGGC